UCUUAACGUCCAAACCGUUCC
rnacentral:miRNA from 1 species